UUUGAUCUCAGCAGCCAUGGUCAUGAACGCCUGCUCGACAUUGGUGGCGUUCUUGGCACUCGUCUCCAGGAAAGGGAUGCCCAGAGAGUCUGCAAACUCCUGGCAAGGGAAGAGGAGAGAAGAGGAGGGGAGAACAGGCAUGGAGAACAGGAGCUUCUCUGAGGGGAACGGUGCAGCUCCGGGCCCCUGCAAAAGGGAUGGAAAGGAAGCCCUCUGCUCCAGGCUGAACCUUCCUCCCGGCCUCUUCCAUCCGAGACCCAGGACAGCGCCAGCAGCCUGCCAGUUGCCCCAACACCUCAACAGCUGCCCAGACCUCAGGGCCUGCCUGCUCUGCUCCCUGCAGCUGUCUCUCCCUGGGACACUUGCAGGCCUAACUGCAUGUGGGAAGCAAAGAGAGAGCGGAGGGGAGACAGGAAGAGUAACAGGUCCACAAGAGUCACGGUUCCCAGCGUGGCCUGGGAGUCCCCUUAAGGUUUGAACACUUGCAGCACAGUGGGGGUUGAGGGUCCUCUCGGAGGCGGCCUGGCCCAUGAGGAGACAGGCAUCCUGGGAGGAGCCUCACAUUCAUCCUACUUUUGACACCAGCAGCCUCCUCACUUGGCUUCAGACUCUCCCAGCAGCUUGCCCCUGCCCGACACACAAAGGACAGAAGUUUAAAAAAAAAAAAAAGAAAAGAAAGAAGAGAAAAGAAAAAAUGGUACUCAGAGACCAGGAAAAAAAAAAAGAAAAAAGAGAAAACAAAGGACAGAAGUUUCAGGAAAGUGCUCAAACUAGGGCCACUUUUUCCUCCUUAGGAGCCAGAGGCCUGGGGUGUCACACUGGCUCACUUCGACCUCUUGCCACAUUCCAAGUUGGGGCCUGGGCUAAGUGCCGGGACAAAGGGGGAAAUCAACCUGGGCCCUGCCCUAACGCAUCCAGGAAACAGUAGAGGAAUAGACCACGCCACCCACAAGGGCAAGACAGGUUAGAAGACAGGGGCUGGGGUGUCCCCAGACCACCUCUGCUCCAGGUGGCAGCAACAGCAGACCAAAGCCCACAGGUAGGAAGUGGCCUUGUGCAGGAGAGGUGCCAGCUGGGGAGCUAGCAUGUGCCCGGUCACAGAAUGGGAGGGGCAUGCUGUCUCUGGGGAAUGGGAGGAAGUGAAAUGCUGCUGGGAUGCAGAUGCUCAGCAGGGAGGGAGAGGGAGGAGGGAGGGAGAAGGGGAAAGUGGGGAGAGGCCAGAGCACAGUCUUAGCCCAGCUAAGUCUUGGACAACCAGGAGCCAGUGGACAUUUUCUUAUGCCAAAAGCAGCAGGAUCACACCUGUGGUCUGAGAAGCUAGUCCUGGCAGGAGGCAGAGGCCAGAUCAGACCAGCAAGAUGGAGACCAGCUGGGAAGUGGCUGGAAUAACCCAGGAAAGAGAACAUGCACCAAGACAGGGAAGCACACAGGAUUUAGUCAGACCACCGCUGGUGAAGCCCUGGCUCAGCCAUUUACCGUGUGACCUCAGGUAUGUGACCUGACCAUCCUGAGCCUCAGUUUCCUCAUUUCUAUAAAAUAGCACCUCCCAGAGGGACUGCAGUGAGCAUGAGAGAAUGAACGCAGGCUUGUCUCAUAACAAGUCCUUAAUUAGCAAGAGCUGCUAUUAUCCUCAUCACUGCUAUUAUGAGGGGACAGAUUUGAGAAAGAUGAUGGGGAGAGAAUAGAGGGGACUUGAGACUGACUGGAUGGGGGAGGGAAGAGUUUUCUGGUCAGGCUGACAAGGAUUGUGCCACAAAGAUGGGGAUGCAGAUGGGCAUGGUGGCGCACACCUGUAGUCCUAGUGACUCAGGAGGCUGAGGUGGGAGGAUCCCUUAAGCCCAGGAGGUUGAGACUGCAGUGAGUUAUGAUCACACCACUGCACUGCAGCCGGGGUGACAGAGUGAGAUCCCAUGUCUUUUUUUUUUUGAGACAGAGUUUCACUCAUUACCCAACCCAGAGGCUCACCACAACCUCUGCCUCCCGGGUUCAAGCGAUUCUCCUGCCUCAGCCUCAUGAGUAGCUGGGACUACAGGCGUGCACCACCAUGCCUGGCUAAUUUUUUUUUUUUUUGUAUUUUUAGUAGAGACGGGGUUUCUCUAUGUUGGUCAGGUUAGUCCUAAACUCCAGACCUCAGGUCUUCCACCCGUCUCGACCUCCCAAAGUGCUGGGAUUACAGGUGUGAGCCACCGUGCCCGGCUGACCCUACGUCUUAAAAUAAAUAAAGAAAAACUUGUUGGGCAUGGUGGCUCACACCUGUACUCCCAGCACUUUGGGAGGCUGAGGCGAGAGGAUCAUGAGGUCAAGAGAUCGAGACCAUCCUGGCCAACAUGAUAAAAACCUGUCUCCACUAAAAAUACAAAAAAAAUUAGGUGGGUGUGGUAGCGCACGCCUAUAGUCCCAGCUGCUCGGGAGGCUGAGGCAGAAUUGCUUGAACCUGGGAGGCAGAGAUUGCACUACACUACAACCUGGGCAAUAGUACAAGACUCCGUCUCAAAAAAGUAAUUAAUUAAUUAAAAAAUAAAUAAAUACAAAUUUAAAAAUGGGGACAGAGGCGCUGGUUUGAAGAGAGACAGUGAGGCUAGUGUUGGACAUCUGAGUUCUGCAGAAGCUGCUGGAGGAUGAGAAAGGGUGUGCUCAGGAGCCAAAAGUCCUGAGUUCUAAAACCGGCUUUGCCCUUCCUGUGAGGUGGCACGUGACUUAAGGCCUCUCCAAGCGCCCUCAUCCGGAAGACACAGGCCCCACCAUUUAGUUUACUGGGGAUCACUGAGCUCAGAGUUAACACAGACACAAAGUGCCAGGUCAGACACGGACAGAGAAGGGAAGCCACAGCCACGGCUGUUAGACGCAGGUAUCAGAAUACAGAGUGGCCACAGCCAUGCAGAAGAGCGAGGAGGAGAGUCCAGGGCAGAGCUGGGAAGCAGCAAACAUGGGUGACAGGAGGCAGCCCCGGGAAAACAGUUAAGAGCCGCUGACAAUACAGAAUUGAGUGCUGCCGGAGAUGAGGGAGGUGGGCCAGGCCACUCUUCAAGGAGAGAGAAGAGAAUAGACUUCAAAGCCAUGAGAGGUCAAUCAGCUGAAAUGAGGUCACUGGACACGGCAGUCAGGAGGGCCUUGGUAACCUCUGUCUGGGUGGUAGGUAUGUAGCUUCCCCAUAGCUCGUCCAGAGCUGGGGACAUCAUGAGUUCCUGGUGAGAUAAAGAGCCCAGCUGUCCCUCAGACCGGGACUCUUCCCAGACCAGGGCUGAUUUAAGCUUCUCCUCAUCUCCAGGGCUUGGCCCUGUUAAGCAACAACACUUGGUAGAAAGAAACAAAGCAGGUGGAAUGAGCCAUCCAGGCUUUAUGCCUCAGCAAGUCACCUCACCAAUCCGGAGCCCAACUCCUCACCUGUGCGAUAGGAACAUAACAGACCUUUUCUGAGCAUCAGAAGCAAUCUGAGGGCUGGGCCACGUUCUGUCAACUGUAAGUUUCAUGGGACCAUUUCUGGCGGCUGCUGGAGACACAGGGCUUCUAGACCUGCUCACAGAGCUCAAGCCUCCUCGCUUCUUUGUGUAAGGCUCUCUAAUUGUCCUCUGCACCAUGUCUUCACACAGGAAGCCAUAGGCCCAGCAUAGCAGCCAACUGGCUGACUAAACUCCCACAAUACCCACAUGCCCAGAAGGCCAACAAUAAGGUGGUAAGUCUGGCUUGGCGGGGAGGGAAGGUGUGAGCCCUUGUCCUGACAAGAUGCUGCAGCAGGGCCCUGGGAGGAUCCAUGUCUGUGGCUGUUUCCCUCCUUGUGAAAUGAGUCUGAGUACAAUCACCUAUUUUUUUCCUUUUCCUAGUUAGUUCUCGCAAACAGGCAAGUACAGUGUCCUUUCCAGGAAGCAUCAGGACAGACAGGAUGGAAGAAGAAAAAAGGAGUCAAAGACCUAAGACUGAGAAGGCCAAGCUGAGAAAGGCUAGUCCGGGAGUACCUGGUCAGUGACGUCAUACACCACGAUGAUGCCAUGAGCCCCCCGGUAAUAGCUGGAAGUGAUGGUCCGGAACCGCUCCUGGCCCGCUGUGUCCCACUAGGAGAUAGUAGGCAGAGGAGCAGGUCAGCUGGGGGCUCCACGCCCAGAGUCCCUUCCCUCCCAAGGCGGUUACCUCUGUACUGGGGUUUUGGGAAGAGCAACACUCACGAUCUGAAGUUUAAUAGUUUUGCCAUCCAGCUCAAUGGUUCGAAUCUUGAAGUCCACCCCGAUGGUACUGAUGUAGCUCUCUGUGUACGUGUCAUCCUGGAAGUUCAGGGGCCAGAGAUGGAGUGAAUGAGCUGAGGCUUGGAGAGCCUCCCUCCAGCUCCCUGCCCCAGCUGGGUCUCCAAACCACCAAGCCCUAGUUCCCAGCAUCGAGCUGGCCAGCCCUGUAUCUUAUUCAGGGCAGAUGUGCUGCUGGCAGGUCUUACAGUUUCAGCCCUGGUUCCCAGAUCUUGUCAUUAUUGUGCUCUGGGUCGUCCCUUCUCCCCCUAGCUGCCAGUCAGGACCCCAGGCAGAUGGUAUGGGAGGCUUCUUACUCACAGCAAACCGCAGGAGCAGGCAUGACUUGCCCACGCCUGAGUCGCCAAUCAAAAGCAGCUUAAACAGGUAGUCACUGGAGAGAGAGGAUGGGAAGGCAUGAAGGAAGGCAAGGAGCCCACCAACUAUCAUGCUGGAGUCACAAUUACAGGAUCCCCCUACCCCAUAAGGCAUCCCUCAGUUUAUUUCUUUCGUUAGUGAUCAGGUCUCACUCUGUUACCCAGGCUGCAGUGCACUGAAGUGAUCACGGCUCACUGCAGCCUCUACCUCCUGGGCUCAAAGUGAUCAUCCCAUCUCAGCCUCCCAAGUAGCUGGGACUACAAGCUAACCCUUUUUUUUAUUUUUUUUGAGAUGGAGUUUCGCUCUUGUUGCCCAGGGUGGAGCGCAGUGGCUCAAUCUUGGCUCACUACAACCUCUGCCUGCUGAGUUCAAGUGAUUCUCCUGCCUCAGCCUCCCAAGUAGCUGGGAUUACAGGUGCCCACCACCAUGCCUAGCUAAGUUUUGUAUUUUUAAUAGAGAUGGGGUUUCACCAUGUUGGCCAGGCUGGUCUCCAACUCCUGACCUCAGGUGAUCCACCUGCCUCAGCCUCCCAAACUGCUGGGAUUACUGGCAUAAGCCACCAUACCCAGCCCCCGGCUAAUCUAUUCUUUAUUGAGACAGGAUCUCACUACGUUGCCCAGGCUGGUCUCAAACUCCUGGGUUCAAUCGAUUCACCUGCCUUGGCCUCUGAAAGUGCUGGGAUUACAGGGGUGAGCCACUGCACCUGGCCAUCCCUUGGUUUAGAAUACGAUGGUGCUCACCAGAUCUUCCCACCAGUCCCAGUUGGGGAGGGCUGAUGCCUCCCUCCACAAACAGCUAGCCCAAAGGGCUCUCAGCAUGCUGUCUAAAUUCUCACUUUAUGGAGAAAGAAAUCAAGACACAGAGAAGGAAAGAACCUGCCAAGGUGACAGAGCUGGAUAUACUACCCUGAUUUCUGAGACUCCACGGUUUGGUCCAGUUGGGGCUAUUUAGGGAAUCCCCAGUACAUGCCCUGUGGUAUGCCUAGCUUGGCAGGAGAGGCCUCAGAAGCAGAAGCCAGGGCACAGCCUAGAACCUACUAAGUGAAAAAGCCACUUAAAAAGCCUGAUGGCUGGGUGCUGUGGCAUGUGCCUCUGGUCCCAGCUACCAGGGAGGCUGAAGCAGGAGGAUUCCUGGAGCCCAGGAGUGCAUGACCAGCCUGGGUGAUGUAGUAAGACCCUGUCUUUUUUUUUUUUUGAGACAGAGUCUUGCUCUGGAGUGCAGUGGGGUGAUCUCGGCUCACUGCAACCUCUAACUCCCUGGUUCAAUCAAUUCUCUCGCCUCAGCCUCCCAAGUUGCUGGGAUUACAGGCACACGCGACCACACCCCUUUUUUUUUUUACAAAAAAAAGGAGCUAAUUUUUGUAUUUUUAGUAGAGACGGGGUUUCACCAUGUUGGCCAGGAUGGUCUCAAUAUCCUGACCUUGUGAUCCACCCGCCUUAGCUUCCCAAAAUGCUGGGAUUACCGGUGUGAGCCACUGCGUCCGGCCAACCCUGUCUCUUGAACAACAACAACAAACCUGUUAUGAAGUCCCCAGGAAGAGGUGGUCAAGUUGCAAUGAAAAUUGUACUUAAGGCUGGGUGCAGUGGCUGACACCUAUAAUCCCAACACUUUGGGAGGCCGAGGCUCGAGGAUCAUUUGAGCCCAGGAGUUUGAGACCAGGCUGGGAAAAAUAUCAAGACCAUGUCUCUACAAAAAAUUUAAAAAUUUGCCAGAUGUAGUGGUGUGCCUCUGUAUUCCCAGCUACUCAGGAGGCCAAGGAAGGAGGACUGCUUGAGCCCAAGAGUUGGAGGUUGCAGUGAGCCAUGCUCACACCACUGCACUUCAACCUGAGUGACAGAGAGAGGCCCUGUCUCAAAAAAAGAGGUAAAAGGUAAUCACAUUUAAUAUUAUUGAGUUUCAACUUGUGACUGAUCCUGUGUGAAGUACUUAAAAUGCAUCAUCUCAUUUAAUCUUCACAACAGUCCAAUGAUGUCAGUCUGUCAUUGUUCACUAAUGAGGAAACCAGAGGCCAGAGAAGGGAAGUGACUUGCCCUAACUUACACAGUUUAUCGCUUUAAGGCUCAAACCAGGUUUGUCAGACUCCAAAGUCCCUGCGAGAGCCUGCUGGUUCCCUUCUCUGUUCCCCUCCCAAUCCAGGUCAGAGCUUCACCCUUCCCCAAGGAAACCUGAGACCUGGAUGUGGAGGAGAAAAAGGAAGUGGCAGAAGAGGAAGAAGAUAACUGAUACUUGGGGAAAACUAUUCGUCCUGGGCAUGAGAUGUAGGCCAUCUACCCGCAGGGCGAGUGACCAAGACUGAGGAGAGUUUGAGGACCAGAGAAUCCCACUGGUAGGGGGAGAGCAAAUUCCAAAUUCAUCUAAACUUCACAGGCAGUGUGACAGCCAAGGGAAGGGGUGUGACGGUAGCGAUGGGGGCCAGAGCAAAAGCGAGGAGACGGCGGGAAAGGACGGGCAGCCGGGAGCGACAGGACUGCGCGACCCAGGAAAGGGGUAGGAGGCAGCCCCGGAGGAGAGGACCUGCGGGAGACACGACCCAAGAGGCACUUCAGGGCCUCCCGCGUAGUUGGCCAGCUUCUGGGCAAGCCCCAGGACCCGGGCUUCGGGAGAAGAGGGCAGAGAGAUUCACUGCCCGACCUAAAGGGUCGGAGCCUGAACCCGAGACCAGAAACUGUCGAGACGGGCUCCAAAACGUCCGGACAGUUUUUAGGCAGCAGGUGAGGAAACUGAGGCCUGAAAUGACCAGGACUGAGGGGUCAUCUGACCGAUAAGGCCUGUCUCGGGCUCCACGAGCUGCCCGAGACCUCCGGGUCGCCACGUAUGGGCUCCGGGUGAGAGGACUCGGGGUGUUGAGCCGGGGUCCUGGGGCCCCUGGGGGGAGGGGCAGAACCCGGAUGUAAUGGGGGGGGUCAGCGGAAGAGAGACCCGGAUGUGGGGGCGCCGCACAGUCCUGACCCGGGCCAGACAACCUCGGUAAGCGUACAAUCCCGUACUCGGGAUCGAGGCUGCGCCGGACGGCGCGGGCGGGGCUCACUCACUAUUCGGGGUUCAUGGCGGCGGCGGCGGCCCGCUCGGUCGCUCCCAGUCAGCUCUGCUCCGCCUCCCGUUCCAAGAUGGUGGCCGCUCCGCCCCAGAGGCCCCGCCCGCGAUGCGCAGGCGCAAACAUUGUAGACUGGGGCCUCGCCGCGCUGCUUUUCGGAACUUGUAGUCGGCCACGUUCUCCUACUCAAACCAGCUGCGCAGGCGUAGUCGGGGAACCCGCGCCUCCCCGCCCACUCCCAUCACUGCUGGCGCAUUGCCUUCUGGGGUUUGUAGUUUGCACGGUGGACGCACCUAGGCUUGAGCACUGCCUGACUGCGCGUCGGUGUUUAAAAAGCUCAAUAUAGAGCUGCGCUUGGCACGUUUCACAUCUGUCUGACGGAGGCAGUCAUCCUUACCCUCUCAGCCCCCACGCUGGUAACAUUAAAUGAGAAGGUGGGUGCUAGUAACAGGCUAACACAAGUUCAUUUGUCCAGGGUUCUUCGUGUACUGGCCUCUCCUAACUCGCAGCCGCGUGUCAUGGCUCGCAUUUCAUAGAUGAAAAAUCUGAGACUCAGGAAACUCAAAACUUUGUGAGGAGCAAAGCUCACAAGAGCCCGCCGUCUCUAAAAUCCCAGAAGUGAGGGUUUUAGGUAAAACCUGACUUGUGGGGUCCCCACACCAUUCCCAGGUGGGGCAGAAUACUUAGGCCCACCUGCGCGGACAGCGGGUGAGCGAACCCACUCACGCGCGAUUCUUCCCGGCUCCACCCAGUAUGGAGACGCUGGGGGCCCCCGACCUCCGCCUCAAAACAAGCCCGGCUCGGAUUCAAACCGUCUUUAUUUCUAGAGCAACAUCUGAAAAUAGAGAGCAGCCGCCUCACCCGCAACAGGGACAGCCCCUCCUGCCACAGGGGACCGUCGCCGCCCCUCAGGAGAAGCUGCAGGCGUGGGGGUAGGCGUGGCAGGAUGGCUCGGCGGGCGGUACCCGGGGCAGGGUCUGGCCGUGCCUGGGCGGGGCCGGGCGGGAGGGGCAGUGCAUAAGGCCGGGAUGCGGGGCAGGGCCCGGCGGUGGGAGGACGGACUACGGGAGGUCCCCCGUCCUGGAGCACAGGGCGAAGGCGGGGUAGGGCGCAUCCCAGGAGGAGAGCGAGAAGGUCAAGGUACCCCCUUGGGAAGCGCCACUCCCGAGAAUGUGGGGCCUGGGAGAUACCACCGCACGGAAUGGGGGUGAUUAAGGCCUGGGCGGUACCACUAGAGGAGGGACAGGGGAGGCCCGGGUAGUACCGUGGACUGAAGGCAGGGGCGCGGCCAAUAACUUAUUUCUCUAUAUACAGAAGCAACGGCCGGGUUGACUUGGGAAGGCGGGUGAGGGUGCCAAAGGGCCGGCGAGUGCUUAGUGUUCUUGGCUCUGGGGUUUGGGGAGGCCAGGCCACUGAGUCUAUCGUGGAGACUCCAGCCGGCACCUCCUGCUGACCACGAACCUAGGGAAGAGAGGGCCCUGCUGGAAGGAAUAAAUAAGGGAUCGAGCUGGAGUGGGCAGGCCCAGCCUCCAGGGCUCAGGCUGAGAUGACAAGGGAGAAGGUUACCCUGAGAUUGAACAGAAAAGACAGGGGCCAUUAGGGAGAGGCGGGACAAGCAGCAGGCCCAUGCGCAGGGCUGGGGUGAGGGGGGGUGUGUGCCAGGUGGGCACUCUGAUGACUGGCUGCCCCUUCAGCAUUAGCCCACCAAGGAGCUUCGUCGGGAGAGGUCCAUCGAGCUGGAGCUGAGAGUGCGGCUGUCAGAGAGACCUGUGCCUCCAGGCUGUGGGCAGAGGGGGCAGGCGGCUCAGCCCUGUGCUGCUGCGGGUCUGUGCCUCCCUGGCCCGAAGGGGCCUUACCCGGCAGAAGCAGGGCAGAGGCAACUGGAGUCCCUGAGCUGAGCAGAGGCAGUGGCAGUGGCAGUUCCAGCCCAAUGCCAUGCCCUGGUGCCCUGACAGUCCCAACCCCCUCCUCCGUGACUGUGUUGGCACUGGCCGCUUACACAUCUACCCACAGGCAGGGGCUGUGUUCCUCCUCAUAUGUCUCCCAAUUGUCCAGCCCAAAGUAGGCCUGAGACAAGAGUUUGGAACUGUUGCUGGAUGAAGAGGCAUGCUGGAGGGAAGCUAGGCAGCAUGCAUGCUGCCCAGUGCCCACACGCCUGCCUGCCCCUACCUGGGCUGGCUCUUCCACACUCUUGUUGAGGAAGUUGAGGGAACUGGCCCGCUUCAUCCUGAGGGAAAAGGACAGCCUGGGAUUUGCCAAGGUGGAACUCAGGGGAGAUGAGGGCAGGGAGCAGGGUGGAGCUGGGGAAGGAGCAGACUGGUGGGUGAUGGUGCCUGAGGGAUGGGGAGGUUGCCUGGGGUCAGCAGGGCUCACUCUGGGUCAGAGGCUCAUCUGGGGUUGUUGGGUGGUUCUUGAGGCUCACCUUGGUGGGGGACUCACCUGGGGUUAGGGGGUUCCUGGGGGCUGCCCCCCUGCAGCUUCUUUACCAGCAUCUCGCUGCUGCGCCUCAGGGCAUCCCGGAGCUUCCCAAAGGAGCCACUGCGCCGCAAGGAGCCACUGCCAUCCUGUGGGUGGACAGGCUCACCUCUAGGCCCCACUGGCCACCUAGGCUCCCAGCCUGGCCCAGUCCCCCAACUCACCCCACUCCACUCAGGUGUAGGCCCUGCCUCCUCGAGGUCAGACUCAGACCGAGGCCCGGCACCCCCAGCCACGUCUCGGCUGCCACGGUGGUCUCCCCGCCCGCUACUGCCAUCUUUCAGCAGUUCCACCACCUUGGUCUGGCUUGCGGGGUCCAAACCCUGAGGGAGGGGCAGGGGCAUCAGGCAGUGACUGGGCCACACCCAGGGCCACACAGGUGUCUGCCCACCCGUUCCUGCAUGGAGCCCCACCUGCUUCCGAUUGCGGCUGGCACAGUCCUCUAGCGUGUGUGCGGCUUCCAGUUUGCCCUGGCGCCGGUACAGGGCUCCCAAGCUGCGCAGGGUGGUGUUGACCGUGGGGCUGUGGAUGGGACAGUCUCAACCUCCAUGUUCCCUGAGACCUAGGGCCUAUCCUGGUACCCAGCCCACACGGGCCCUGAGGAAGCAGGGACCACUGGGCUAGCCAGAAUCCAUUCUCUCCCAUGUCAAGCCCCGUACUGGGCCCACCCAGCCUCUUCCGUCCUGGGGAAUCAACCCAGGGCUGGGGACCUGGCCUCAGGUCCCUCAUGGGAUGUGUCACCAGGACCCAAUGCUGGGAGACCUGGAGCAUGAGAAUUAGGCUGAGAAUUAAGAGAGUGCACCUUCUUGGGAUAGGUGACCUGUGAGCUGGGCAUUGCCAGAUGAGCAGCAGAGGAGAGGUGUGUCAGGGAUGAGAGUAGGGAGUGCAGAACCCGCCUUGGGGUGCCCAGCUCCCCAGCCCCACCCCUCCCUCACCUGUCUACUUUACAGGCCUUGUACCAGCUGCCGUAUUCCCCAUAGGGGGCGCUGUCCCGGCGCUUAUCCUGGAGGAAGGUCACAUGAAGUGAGAGCCCAGGCCCCGUUUGCACAUCCCUGCCCAGCCCUGCCCCACAGAGCUACCUUGCUCUCCUCCCGCUCCUCUGCAUGCAUCCAGAUGGGCUUGUUGUCCCCUGGGGAGAGAAAGGGGACCGUCACCAGCCUACCACAUAGGCCUCACCUGGUUGGGCUGGACACAGGAUGGAGUCUGGGGAGGGAGGACCAGGGUUGAGCUUUUUUUUUUUUUUUGAGACAGAGUUUCGCUCUUGUUACCCAGGCUGGAGUGCAAUGGCACGAUCUCGGCUCACCGCAACCUCCGCCUCCUGGGUUCAGGCAGUUCUCCUGCCUCAGCCUCCUGAGUAGCUGGGAUUACAGGCACGCGCCACCAUGCCCAGCUAAUUUUUUGUAUUUUUAGUAGAGACGGGGUUUCACCAUGUUGACCAGGAUGGUCUCGAUCUCUUGACCUCGUGAUCCACCCGCGUAGGCCUCCCAAAGUGCUGGGAUUACAGGCGUGAGCCACCGCGCCCGGCCUGAGCUUUGUUGAAUGAAGGAACAAGAAUGAGACCCAAAACACUACUGACCCUCUAAUGGACAAAGAGAUGAGCAGAACAGACCCUUACACACCUCAGGCCACAGCCCAAGACAUGUGAUAGGCCUGAAUGACAGGCCAGGCUCCAAGGGACUCAGGAGCAGGAGAUGACAAGCCAUCCAGGGCCAGAGGUGGUUUCCCAGAGCGGGAGACGCUGGGGCCAGGCCCUCAAGGUUAGCAGGAGUCACCAGUGGAGAAAAGGGAUCCAAAAGUGUGUGAGGCACUGGCAGGCCAAGGGGGCUGCCUGAGUCGGGUGUGUGUUCACAUGUGCAAAUGUGAACACAGGUAGCUGGGCACCAGCAGAGGGUGAGGCUGGGGACCAGCCAGGACCAACCAGAGGAACUGCUGGCUGAAGGAUUUGUCCUGGGUGCUGAUGGCAGAGCGGGCCUGGGAUGAAUGGGCCAGAGGCACAUGGCAACCAUGCACUCACCAUUGACAGAGCCAAACUCUUUCUCGUGAGCGCGGGUGAGGAUCUCCUUGUACAAGGUCUCUGCAUCCUGGUACUUGCCCUGCUUCAGGUAGCAGGAAGCCUGGAAGCAGGGGACCCAGAGAGUGAGCGGAUGGAUGGAGCCAAGCCAUUCUCUCCUCCUUCCCCAACCUCAUCCCUCCCUCCCUCCUUCCUAUCCUCCAGCCCCUCCCAACCCCAAGGCACCAGGUUGUUCUUGGUCUUAGCCACGUUGGGGUCAUCAGGCCCAAGGCGUGUAGCAUAGAUCUCCAGUGCCCGCCGGUAGUAGUAUUCUACCUCCUCGGCUUUACCCUGGUUCUGGCAUAGCAGGGCCAGAUUGCUGAGCUGCUUAGCCACGUCUGGGUGAAACUUGCCCAGGACCUGGGAUGGGAGAGGGAGCCAGGGCUGGGCUCAGGGCUGCCUGGGCCCCUGCCUCCCAGACCCCCAGCCUGCCCAGUCCUGCCUACUCCCACCUUCUCCCGGAUCUCCAGCGCCCGCUUGCACAGUGGCUCAGCCUCCUUGUACUUGCCCCGCUUGCCAUACAGGACCGCCAGGUUGUUUAGUGUUGCAGCCACCUAGGGGUGGGAGAAUGGAAGCUCCUUGACCCAGGCCCUGCAGGACUCUGGGACCUACAGAGGAUGGGGCACAGCCCCCACCUCCCACCCAAUCCUCACUCACAGCCGGGUGGUCCUUGCCCAGUGUCUUCUCCCGGAUGGCCAGAGCGUCAUUGAGCAGGUGGGCAGCCUCCUUGUACUUGUUCUGGUCCCUGGAAGCAGGCAGGAGCAUGGUCAUGGCUGUCCUCCAGCUUAAGGCCCUCCCCAGUGGCCUUCAAUCCCUGUGGUCACUCCUGUACUCACUGAGGAGUGACAGUGUGGGGAGACCUGCUUGGCUCCUGCCCUCUGAGCUCUGGGGGCUGUGGGCAGUUUUCUCACAAUUAACUGGGGUGUGUAGUGCUGGGGUCCCACUGACUGCCUGGUGGCUAGUGUCCUGGGUGCCACAUGGCUCUCCUGCUGCCCCUCUAGCGUGUCCUGCUCUCCAGGUCCCAGUGACUUUGCUCAUGCUGGCUUUUUGCCAUGGGAACCUUUUCCAUCCCUCUUAUGUUGGGCAAACUCACUUUCUGCCAAAGCUCCUCCUCCAGCCUUGGUACCUGGAGAAGCCAUGCGGACUCCCCAGGACCCUUGCAGUCCUCAUGUGCAGUCCCUCCGAGGUUCUGGCCAAGCCUCUCUCCUACACUAGGCAGUUUUACUAGUGCAGCCCAGCUGCACGCAGACGGGGCCCAAGUCCUGGCCCACACAGGCACCAAGGGUUGGUGAUCCAGGGCUAGAGCCUUCCAGAAGAAUUUGGGCACCCCGAGGGAGCCCUCACCGAUAGACCAGUGCCAGGAUGUUCAGCAUGGUGGCAACGUCAGGAUGGUCGUGGCCUGAGGUCUUCUCCAGGUCCUCCAGUGCCUGCUUGCAGAGUGGCACAGCUACCUCGUAGCGGCCCUGUGAGGCAUACUGGAUCACCAGGUUGUGCAGGGUACGGAGCCGGGCCGGAAUCUCGUAUCCCCCAUGCUGAGCAGACACAUCCCCUCCUCCUGGGCUAGGGGCUGCAGGCCAAGGGCAGGAGGUCAGAUGUACCAUCUGCCCGCUGGGCUGGGCUGGCACAUGCCAGCAGUGCCUUUGAGCCACUUGACACCUGGCCCUGGGCAAGUCACUAAGCACUCUUUCUCAGUUUCCCCAUUUGUAGAGUGGGUCUAGUUACCCCAUAGAAAGAGGGGGUAGAGGCCCAGCUCCAGUACGUCAGGCUCAGUAUCCUGCAGUAAGUCACCUAACCUCUGAGCCUGUGUCCCUGUGUACAGAGUGGAAGCCCCAACGCUCGCCCAAUACCUGAGCAAGGCAGGCACUGGCCCUGGUGUGGCUCUGCAAGUGCCUCCCACAGAGGUGGCACAGAGAGGAAGAUAACUCUCCCAGGGGUCUGAGGAGCUAGUGGCAGAGCAGCACUGGAAGCCAGGCUGGCGACUCCAUAGCUCUUAACUGUGAUGUCUGCUCCCUAGAACUGGGGGAUGUGAGAAGCAGCAGCACAUACAACUGUUCUUGAAGCUCUAACACUAGGAUGUCAUGAGCAGAAGUAAGGCAGGAAGGAACAUGGCAGCCACUCGGUCCCAAGGACUGUGAGUUCACACAACCUUUCCUUCCCUCACUCCAGAACUGCCCAUCCGCACCUGGGCUCUGCUCAUCCUCAUUGGGGAACAGGUCAUCCAGAGUGUCUUUGGGGACGUCCCCCUUCUCCUCCUGGGGAGGAAGACAGGAUGAGCGUCAGGGAAGGAAGCACAGGGCGGCCAAGGUGACCAUGGGCUGGGGUGGAGCCAAAUCUGCUCCAUGCUGCCCCCUUCCUGCUCCCAAGCCCCCUUGCUGGGCAACAGUGACCAUGGUAGGGGCUCACAUUAGGGGAGGCGUCUUCGUCCAACUUGCGGAUCUGGCUCAUGAACAGCAGGUGCUGCUUCUCCUCCUCGAGCUGGGCCACAGCUUGCUCACUGCGCUGCAGCUUCUGCUGUGUGCCCGCCAGCUCCUCACGCAGCCACUGGUUCUCCUGCACCAGGCGCCGUACCUGCGCCCGCAGCUUCUGCUUCUCUGAUUCUACGGCCCCCAGGUGGCUCGACAGUGCCAAGAUCACCUGUGCAAACAGCCCAGGUAAGGGUCGGAGCCCUGUUGAUCCCCUCGCUUAUGACUCUAACCUGUGCCUUGUGAAGAACCAGGCCUGACCCUACAGUGAGAAGCUGCAGACCUUGGGGUUCUCUCCUCCUCAAGGAAGAAUCUCCUCAAGGCCCCAAACACACUAUAGUCCAAGGCCCAAACCCAGGAGGCUUGGGAGUCCCCAAUUCCUUCCUUCUGGGAUCAGGAGAACCCCAGAAAAGUCCUAGUUGGGGUGCUGUGCUUUCCUUGAGCUCCUAGCCUCUUCAUCUCUCCCUGGGUUGUACUCAAGCUCCUGCUGCCACAGCCACUAGGUUACUGCUCCCUGCCCCAGGGCUAGCACUUGCCCGCUGAACUCUGCUAGAUGGCUGAAAGGCCACCCAAAGACUCUGUCCCCACUUCUGCCAAGGGGCCACAGCAUCCCCUGCCUUUCUGCAGCUCCCAGGUAGGGAAGGGGCAUGUGUCCCAAAUGCUCAGCUGGCAUGAGGAGCCACAGGGACAGGAAAAGCCUUGGCCUCAAACUCCACCCCUCUCCCCAGCCUCUAUAACUCCUUUCCUGAGUUUCUAGUCUCUUCCUGCCUAGGUUCCACCCUGCCUUCUCUCUCUCUCUCUCUCUCUCUUUUUUAAUUUGAGAUAAGGUCUCA